UAGGGAAUAUUGCAAAAUGGGCGAAAGCCCGAUGCAGCAACGCCGCGUGGGCGAUGAAGGCCUUCGGGUCGUAAAGCCCUUUUUGAGGGGAUGAGGAAGGACAGUACCCUCAGAAUAAGCCUCGGCUAACUACGUGCCAGCAGCCGCGGUAAAACGUAGGAGGCGAGCGUUAUCCGGAUUUACUGGGCGUAAAGCGCGUGCAGGCGGAUUGGAGAGUUGGAUGUGAAAGCUCCCGGCUUAACUGGGAGAGGUCGUUCAAUACUUCCAGUCUUGAGUGCAGUAGAGGGAAGUGGAAUUCCGGGUGUAGUGGCGAAAUGCGUAGAUAUCCGGAGGAACACCAGUGGCGAAAGCGGCUUCCUGGACUGUAACUGACGCUCAGACGCGAAAGCUAGGGUAGCAAACG
rnacentral:rRNA from 1 species